GCGCCGCUCCCCCACCCCCCCAAACACUGGACAAGAGGCUGGCCUGAGAUUCCUGGUCCCAUAUGCCCCAGUACCAGUGACCAAGAGAUAUGAAUCUCCAGAUCAACCCACACUCCCCCGAAUCUUUUUGUACCCCGUCUCCUGCUGACCAGGCCUGCAGAUGCAAGUGCUCACCUCCUGGCCACAUCACUCAGUCUCUGGCACCUCAAACCCACCGCCACCCACAGCGACUUCCGCCUGCUCACCACGGGCAGCACCACACCCCCAGCUUGCUCACCGAGGACAAGAGCUGCUUCCCCACUCAGGCCCCCUCCUCUACGGAGCCCCCUCUACCAUCCCAUCUCUAAGCUCCAUGGAAUCCCCCCACCCCACCCCCGCGCCUCCCCAUGGAUUGGCUGCGUAGCCUUCUGAGUUCCUUUCCGUCUCCAGAGUUUGGUCUCAGCUCUACAGAGAGACGUCAACAAGAACCACUUCCUAGCCCUGUUUCCAGGAGUAAAAGGCUACUCAGCGUGG